UGAAGCGUGGAAGCUAAAACAGCCGUGGAAUGUCCCGAGUUUCCAAAACUUUGCUGGCAGAUAGAGAAGUUACAAAAGAAAAUCGAACAAAGCAGAGAGAGAAAAAGAGCUCACGAGGUGCAAGCAGGAUAAGGAGGAUGCAAACCCUGCUUCAACCCUGUAAGUCUUUAUCCUUUCUCAAUUUUUCGAGUCAAUACUUUGCUUUUAAUGGUGCCCCCAAAUGGCAGUACUCUGUUAAAAGAACUUGUAACUCCAUUACCGCUGCUGGGACACCAAAAGCUUUGUCUUUUCCGAGGAAAUAUACGUUUUUGAGAAGUACCCAGAUUGUGCUUUGCUCUCAAAAUGAUACUUUUGAUGAGUUUUCAAGCACCCAGUUGCCUGAAAGGUUUGAAAACGAUAGUGGAAUUGAAGAAAAUGAGGAGCUUGAAUUGCUUAAUAAGCCUAGUCCAGCACCUGUGAAUAAUGGGUUUGUAUCUGAUGUUGAUAAAGAGUCUGAAAAACCUGAUAAAGAAGAGGUUUUGGAGCCUUUUUUGAAAUUUUUUAGGCCUAGCGAACCAUUGCAAGUAGAAGGGAGAGGUGAAUUAGAAGAUUCUGAGGAGAAAAUUGAUGAAGUGAAGAAGGUUGGUGUCGAGUACUAUGAGCCAAAACCUGGUGACUUAGUGGUUGGUGUUGUUGUUUCUGGUAAUGAGAAUAAGCUUGAUGUGAAUGUUGGGGCUGACAUGUUGGGUACAAUGUUGACUAAAGAUGUGUUGCCUUUGUAUGAUAAAGAGAUGGAUUAUUUGAUGUGUGAUCUGGAAAAUAAAGCUGAGGAAUUUAUGUUUUAUGGGAAGAUGGGAAUUGUUAAGGAUGAUGAUGCGAUGAGUGGGGGGCCGGGUCCUGGAAGACCAGUGGUUGAGACUGGAACUGUGCUUUUUGCUGAGGUUCUUGGAAGAACACUUAGUGGUCGGCCUUUGCUCUCAACUAGACAGCUCUUCAGGAGGAUUGCUUGGCAUCGAGUGAGGCAGAUAAAACACCUGAAUGAACCUAUAGAGGUUAAAUUUACAGAGUGGAAUACAGGUGGCCUGCUGACAAGAAUUGAGGGCUUGCGAGCUUUCCUUCCAAAAGCUGAGUUGAUGAAGAGAGUAAAUAACUUCUCUGAGUUGAAAGGAUAUGUGGGCCGCAGAAUGCAUGUGAAAGUUAGUCGAAUAAAUGAGGCUAACAAUGAUUUAAUAUUGAGCGAGAGAGAAGCUUGGGAAAUGAUGCAUCUUCGAGAUGGAACACUUGUAGAAGGAACUGUUGUAAAAAUUUUACCGUAUGGAGCCCAAGUAAGAAUAGCGGAUUCCAAUAGAAGUGGGUUGCUUCAUAUCUCAAAUAUGAGCAAAACUCGAAUUACUUCUGUUGCUGAAUUGCUUAAAGAGGAUGAGAAGGUCAAGGUUCUUGUUGUGAAGUCACUCUUUCCUGACAAAAUAUCUCUCAGUACUGCUGAACUUGAAAGUGAACCUGGCCUCUUUAUAUUAAACAAAGAGAGGGUAUUUUCUGAGGCUGAAGAGAUGGCAAAGAAGUACAGGCAAAGUCUACCUGCAGUUUAUGCACCCCGGAAUACCGAACCUCUUCCAGCUGAUGCUUUAUCUUUUGAGAACGAAGAAAGUCUGUAUGCAAAUUGGAAGUGGUUCAAAUUUGAAAGAGAGAAUGAAUCAAGUUGAGUUUUUAAGGUCGGAAUGCCAGAAUAUUAACUUGGAAAAGUGGAGGGCUCGAGUGUUACAACUCGACUGCAUGAUGAUCUCUAGAAGAAAAAAGGAGGGUUUGUUCAAAUCUGCGAUCAGGAACCGCCCGUAGAGGGAGGUCUGCUGCUAUUGCAGGUCGAAACUGCUACGAAUUUUUUGAUUUGAGAUCAAACACAAUCAAGUUCGUAUCGGCAGACUUUAGCACAAUUCAGAAGCAUAACAUGAGCAAUUAUAGCAUGUGGAGCUUUCAGACGAAGAGACGGAGGUGGACAGCAAGAGAAGCCCAAUCAAAGCAAGAUAAUGAAGAGGAGAAGAAGACUCCCUAGGAAUGCUACAUUUGCUUAGCUUGGGAGUAUAGAAUAAAAAGAGGUAAAAUCAGUUCUAAUAAAAACGAUAACGAAGAAGAGUGGAACUUUCUUGUCUCCAUA